rnacentral:rRNA from 1 species
GAUGAACGCUGGCGGCGUGCCUAAUACAUGCAAGUCGAGCGAACGGACGAGAAGCUUGCUUUUCUGAUGUUAGCGGCGGACGGGUGAGUAACACGUGGAUAACCUACCUAUAAGACUGGGAUAACUUCGGGAAACCGGAGCUAAUACCGGAUAAUAUUUUGAACCGCAUGGUUCAAAAGUGAAAGACGGUCUUGCUGUCACUUAUAGAUGGAUCCGCGCUGCAUUAGCUAGUUGGUAAGGUAACGGCUUACCAAGGCAACGAUGCAUAGCCGACCUGAGAGGGUGAUCGGCCACACUGGAACUGAGACACGGUCCAGACUCCUACGGGAGGCAGCAGUAGGGAAUCUUCCGCAAUGGGCGAAAGCCUGACGGAGCAACGCCGCGUGAGUGAUGAAGGUCUUCGGAUCGUAAAACUCUGUUAUUAGGGAAGAACAUAUGUGUAAGUAACUGUGCACAUCUUGACGGUACCUAAUCAGAAAGCCACGGCUAACUACGUGCCAGCAGCCGCGGUAAUACGUAGGUGGCAAGCGUUAUCCGGAAUUAUUGGGCGUAAAGCGCGCGUAGGCGGUUUUUUAAGUCUGAUGUGAAAGCCCACGGCUCAACCGUGGAGGGUCAUUGGAAACUGGAAAACUUGAGUGCAGAAGAGGAAAGUGGAAUUCCAUGUGUAGCGGUGAAAUGCGCAGAGAUGUGGAGGAACACCAGUGGCGAAGGCGACUUUCUGGUCUGUAACUGAUGCUGAUGUGCGAAAGCGUGGGGAUCAAACAGGAUUAGAUACCCUGGUAGUCCACGCCGUAAACGAUGAGUGCUAAGUGUUAGGGGGUUUCCGCCCCUUAGUGCUGCAGCUAACGCAUUAAGCACUCCGCCUGGGGAGUACGACCGCAAGGUUGAGACUCAAAGGAAUUGACGGGGGCCCGCACAAGCGGUGGAGCAUGUGGUUUAAUUCGAAGCAACGCGAAGAACCUUACCAAAUCUUGACAUCCUUUGACAACUCUAGAGAUAGAGCCUUCCCCUUCGGGGGACAAAGUGACAGGUGGUGCAUGGUUGUCGUCAGCUCGUGUCGUGAGAUGUUGGGUUAAGUCCCGCAACGAGCGCAACCCUUAAGCUUAGUUGCCAUCAUUAAGUUGGGCACUCUAAGUUGACUGCCGGUGACAAACCGGAGGAAGGUGGGGAUGACGUCAAAUCAUCAUGCCCCUUAUGAUUUGGGCUACACACGUGCUACAAUGGACAAUACAAAGGGCAGCGAAACCGCGAGGUCAAGCAAAUCCCAUAAAGUUGUUCUCAGUUCGGAUUGUAGUCUGCAACUCGACUACAUGAAGCUGGAAUCGCUAGUAAUCGUAGAUCAGCAUGCUACGGUGAAUACGUUCCCGGGUCU